rnacentral:tRNA from 1 species
GGGGAUUUAGCUCAGCGGCAUAAGCGCCUGCCUUGCAAGCAGGCAGUCGUGAGCUCGAUCCCCA